rnacentral:rRNA from 1 species
UUAAGCGACUAAGCGUACACGGUGGAUGCCCUGGCAGUCAGAGGCGAUGAAGGACGUGCUAAUCUGCGAUAAGCGCCGGUAAGGUGAUAUGAACCGUUAUAACCGGCGAUUUCCGAAUGGGGAAACCCAGUGUGAUUCGUCACACUAUCAUUAACUGAAUCCAUAGGUUAAUGAGGCGAACCGGGGGAACUGAAACAUCUAAGUACCCCGAGGAAAAGAAAUCAACCGAGAUUCCCCCAGUAGCGGCGAGCGAACGGGGAGGAGCCCAGAGCCUGAAUCAGCAUGUGUGUUAGUGGAAGCGUCUGGAAAGGCGCGCGAUACAGGGUGACAGCCCCGUACACAAAAGCGCAUGUGCUGUGAGCUCGAUGAGUAGGGCGGGACACGUGGUAUCCUGUCUGAAUAUGGGGGGACCAUCCUCCAAGGCUAAAUACUCCUGACUGACCGAUAGUGAACCAGUACCGUGAGGGAAAGGCGAAAAGAACCCCGGCGAGGGGAGUGAAAAAGAACCUGAAACCGUGUACGUACAAGCAGUGGGAGCACCCUUUUGGGUGUGACUGCGUACCUUUUGUAUAAUGGGUCAGCGACUUAUAUUCUGUAGCAAGGUUAACCGUAUAGGGGAGCCGGAGGGAAACCGAGUCUUAAUUGGGCGUUAAGUUGCAGGGUAUAGACCCGAAACCCGGUGAUCUAGCCAUGGGCAGGUUGAAGGUUGGGUAACACUAACUGGAGGACCGAACCGACUAAUGUUGAAAAAUUAGCGGAUGACCUGUGGCUGGGGGUGAAAGGCCAAUCAAACCGGGAGAUAGCUGGUUCUCCCCGAAAGCUAUUUAGGUAGCGCCUCGUGAAUUCAUCUCCGGGGGUAGAGCACUGUUUCGGCUAGGGGGCCAUCCCGGCUUACCAACCCGAUGCAAACUGCGAAUACCGGAGAAUGUUAUCACGGGAGACACACGGCGGGUGCUAACGUCCGUCGUGAAGAGGGAAACAACCCAGACCGCCAGCUAAGGUCCCAAAGUCAUGGUUAAGUGGGAAACGAUGUGGGAAGGCCCAGACAGCCAGGAUGUUGGCUUAGAAGCAGCCAUCAUUUAAAGAAAGCGUAAUAGCUCACUGGUCGAGUCGGCCUGCGCGGAAGAUGUAACGGGGCUAAACCAUGCACCGAAGCUGCGGCAGCGACGCUUAUGCGUUGUUGGGUAGGGGAGCGUUCUGUAAGCCUGCGAAGGUGGCCUGUGAGGGUUGCUGGAGGUAUCAGAAGUGCGAAUGCUGACAUAAGUAACGAUAAAGCGGGUGAAAAGCCCGCUCGCCGGAAGACCAAGGGUUCCUGUCCAACGUUAAUCGGGGCAGGGUGAGUCGACCCCUAAGGCGAGGCCGAAAGGCGUAGUCGAUGGGAAACGGGUUAAUAUUCCCGUACUUGGUGUUACUGCGAAGGGGGGACGGAGAAGGCUAUGUUGGCCGGGCGACGGUUGUCCCGGUUUAAGCGUGUAGGUGUGUGUUCCAGGUAAAUCCGGUUCACUUUAACACUGAGGCGUGACGACGAGGCACUACGGUGCUGAAGCAACAAAUGCCCUGCUUCCAGGAAAAGCCUCUAAGCAUCAGGUAACAUCAAAUCGUACCCCAAACCGACACAGGUGGUCAGGUAGAGAAUACCAAGGCGCUUGAGAGAACUCGGGUGAAGGAACUAGGCAAAAUGGUGCCGUAACUUCGGGAGAAGGCACGCUGACACGUAGGUGAAGUGAUUUACUCACGGAGCUGAAGUCAGUCGAAGAUACCAGCUGGCUGCAACUGUUUAUUAAAAACACAGCACUGUGCAAACACGAAAGUGGACGUAUACGGUGUGACGCCUGCCCGGUGCCGGAAGGUUAAUUGAUGGGGUCAGCGCAAGCGAAGCUCCUGAUCGAAGCCCCGGUAAACGGCGGCCGUAACUAUAACGGUCCUAAGGUAGCGAAAUUCCUUGUCGGGUAAGUUCCGACCUGCACGAAUGGCGUAAUGAUGGCCAGGCUGUCUCCACCCGAGACUCAGUGAAAUUGAACUCGCUGUGAAGAUGCAGUGUACCCGCGGCAAGACGGAAAGACCCCGUGAACCUUUACUAUAGCUUGACACUGAACAUUGAGCCUUGAUGUGUAGGAUAGGUGGGAGGCUUUGAAGCGUGGACGCCAGUCUGCGUGGAGCCGACCUUGAAAUACCACCCUUUAAUGUUUGAUGUUCUAACGUGGACCCGUGAUCCGGGUUGCGGACAGUGUCUGGUGGGUAGUUUGACUGGGGCGGUCUCCUCCUAAAGAGUAACGGAGGAGCACGAAGGUUGGCUAAUCCUGGUCGGACAUCAGGAGGUUAGUGCAAUGGCAUAAGCCAGCUUGACUGCGAGCGUGACGGCGCGAGCAGGUGCGAAAGCAGGUCAUAGUGAUCCGGUGGUUCUGAAUGGAAGGGCCAUCGCUCAACGGAUAAAAGGUACUCCGGGGAUAACAGGCUGAUACCGCCCAAGAGUUCAUAUCGACGGCGGUGUUUGGCACCUCGAUGUCGGCUCAUCACAUCCUGGGGCUGAAGUAGGUCCCAAGGGUAUGGCUGUUCGCCAUUUAAAGUGGUACGCGAGCUGGGUUUAGAACGUCGUGAGACAGUUCGGUCCCUAUCUGCCGUGGGCGCUGGAGAACUGAGGGGGGCUGCUCCUAGUACGAGAGGACCGGAGUGGACGCAUCACUGGUGUUCGGGUUGUCAUGCCAAUGGCACUGCCCGGUAGCUAAAUGCGGAAGAGAUAAGUGCUGAAAGCAUCUAAGCACGAAACUUGCCCCGAGAUGAGUUCUCCCUGAGACUUAAAGUCUCCUGAAGGAACGUUGAAGACGACGACGUUGAUAGGCCGGGUGUGUAAGCGCAGCGAUGCGUUGAGCUAACCGGUACUAAUGAACCGUGAGGCUUAACCUU